UACGAAGGGGGCUAGCGUUGCUCGGAAUCACUGGGCGCAAAGGGUGCGUAGGCGGGUCUUUAAGUCAGGGGUGAAAUCCUGGAGCUCAACUCCAGAACUGCCUUUGAUACUGAGGAUCUUGAGUUCGGGAGAGGUGAGUGGAACUGCGAGUGUAGAGGUGAAAUUCGUAGAUAUUCGCAAGAACACCAGUGGCGAAGGCGGCUCACUGGCCCGGAUACUGGCGCUGAGGCACGAAAGCGU
rnacentral:rRNA from 1 species